rnacentral:rRNA from 1 species
ACGCUCGACACCUACGGGAGACAGCAGUGAGAAUAUUGGUCAAUGGACGCAAGUCUGAACCAGCCAUGCCGCGUGCAGGAUGACGGCUCUAUGAGUUGUAAACUGCUUUUGUACGAGGGUAAACGCAGAUACGUGUAUCUGUCUGAAAGUAUCGUACGAAUAAGGAUCGGCUAACUCCGUGCCCGCAGCCGCGGUAAUCUGAGCGGGCUGGCAAGGC